GCUUACGGCCAUACCACCCUGAGAACGCCCGAUCUCGUCCGAUCUCGGAAGCUAAGCAGGGUCGGGCCUGGUUAGUACUUGGAUGGGAGACCCGCCUGGGAAUACCAGGUGCUGUAAGCU
rnacentral:rRNA from 1 species